GCCCAGACUGACAGAGGAGCCGCAGACAGACAGACAGACCGCCUCAAUAGGCAGGACUCGGGUAGGGAAAAAAGGGUGGGUCGAUAGAGAUCACAGUGUAAACUGCGCACGGUUUGUUUUCACGCUCCAUAUCAGGACUGCGCAACGCAAAUGAAUGGAGGCUGGAGGCACGUAAGGAAAGACGCGUUCAAAGUUUUAAAACUUGGGGAAAAACAUACUUUAAAGAAGACACGAGAUGGAUUGGAUCGGUAACUUUGAGACAACUCAAAGCAAAUGGAAAAUUGCUACAUGAUCGCUUUAUGGAGUUUGCGGCAACAGAUGCUUUAAAGAAAGUUCAUUCACAUAACCCACAGGAGGAGUGGAGUUUUGUUGAGGAAACACAUCACUAACUCUGGGAUGUGAUCGACUGGAUUUACUGGGAAUUCAGAGAGAACCUUAAACUCCAGAUAGAGAAUCUCAACCUGUGUGUGUGUGUGUGUGUGUGUGCUUUUUAAGCUGUGGAUGUUAUAGCAGAGUUUGAUUUCAGCCAUGGGGAAUUUGGAAAGUGUGGAUGGACAGAGUGAGAUAAAGCAUCACAUCAUGCCCUUAAAGGUGCCAAUGCCGGAGCCUGCUGAGCUCGAGGAGCGCUUUGCCUUAGUUCUGAGCUCCAUGAACCUGCCUCCGGACAAAGCACGCCUCCUCCGCCAGUACGAUAACGAGAAGAAGUGGGACCUCAUCUGUGAUCAGGAGCGCUUCCAAGUAAAAAACCCCCCCCACACAUACAUUCAGAAACUGAGGGGUUUUUUAGAUCCAGGAGUCACACGCAAGAAAUUCCGCAGGCGGGUUCAGGAAUCCACCAAAGUUCUGAGGGAACUGGAGAUAUCGCUGAGGACCAAUCACAUCGGGUGGGUGCGGGAGUUCCUGAAUGAUGAGAACAGAGGACUGGACAUUCUGGUGGAGUACCUCUCCUUUGCCCAGUGUGCUGUCACGUUGGAUUUUGAUGGUCUGGAGAAUGGCGAGGAUGGCUCCCUGGACAAAGCCAAGUCCUGGAGCAGGUCCAUUGAGGAUCUGCACCAGAAUGGUUUCAGUACACUGGUGCGCUCGGUGCGCCACUCGGUCCCUCGGUAUGGAUCAGCAACGAACAGCAAAACUAUCAAAAACUCCAGGAUUGUGAGUCAGAAGGAUGACGUACAUGUGUGCAUCAUGUGUCUGCGAGCUAUCAUGAACUACCAGUACGGUUUCAACAUGGUCAUGUCCCACGCACAUGCGGUUAAUGAAAUCGCCCUCAGCAUGAACAAUAAGAACUCGCGGACAAAAGCACUGGUCCUGGAGCUUCUGGCUGCUGUGUGUCUGGUGCGAGGGGGCCAUGAGAUCAUCCUCUCAGCGUUUGAUAACUUCAAAGAGGUGUGUAAGGAAAAACACCGUUUUGAAAAGCUGAUGGAGUAUUUUCGCUGUGAAGAUGGAAACAUCGAUUUCAUGGUGGCCUGCAUGCAGUUCAUCAACAUCGUAGUCCAUUCUGUAGAGGACAUGAACUUCCGAGUACAUCUGCAGUAUGAAUUCACUAAACUGGGUCUGGAUGAUUUCCUAGAGAAAUCCAAGCACACAGAGAGUGAUAAGCUGUCGGUGCAGAUCCAGGCCUACUUGGACAAUGUGUUUGACGUAGGAGGACUGCUGGAGGAUGCAGAGACGAAGAACGUGGCUCUGGAGAAAGUGGAGGAACUGGAAGACCAGCUGUCUCAUGUGACUGAGAAGCUUCUGGAAGUGGAGAAUGAGACGGUGAUGAAAGUCGCUGAGCUGGAGAAGCAACUCUUACAGAAAGACAAGGAUCUUACUGCUAUUCGGGAGACGUAUGAAUCAACGAGCUCUCAGGUGCGCACACUUCGACGUGUAAUACAGGAAAAGGACGCCGCCUUCCAGAGGCACACUAAUAUUGAAAAGCGGCUACUGGAGCUGGAACAGCAGGGGACUAUCCGCUUGAGGAAACAGCCUGAUGGAGACAUUGCAAUCGAGGCUCUUGGAGGAGGAGGGGGAGGAGGAGGAAGCGGUGGAGCUAUAGACAUUAUGACUGGAGCUCCUCUUGGGGAGCUGAACUCAGGCAGCACCAUCCUGGGUGUCAGUUUGCCCACUGCUACUGAGGAAACGCCUGCACCACCUCCUCCACCACCUCCACCUCCACCACCUCCACCUCUCCCCACAGCAGCAGAGUGUCUACCACCUCCACCUCCACCUUUGGCUCCUCCACUUCCUGGAGCUUCACCCUCAGUCAUCCUCAGUGUUGGUUUAUCAGCCAUCAGGAUCAAGAAGCCCAUAAAGACCAAGUUCCGUCUUCCUGUAUUUAACUGGACUGCUCUGAAGCCCAACCAGAUCAAUGGUACUGUCUUCAACGAUAUCGACGAUGAGCGAGUGCUUGAGGAGCUGGACCUGGAGAAGUUUGAGGAGCUCUUUAAGACCAAAGCCCAGGGCCCUGUGGUUGAUCUGUCCUGUACAAAGAGCAAAACCUCCAGUAAAGUCAUAAACAAAGUUCAGCUGCUCGAUGCGAAUCGCUCCAAGAACCUGGCCAUCACACUACGCAAGGCCAACAAGACCACAGAGGAGAUCUGCAGAGCCAUCCAAACGUUUGAUCUCAAGGCCCUGCCGGUGGACUUUGUGGAGUGUCUGAUGCGCUUCCUGCCCACGGAGGCAGAGAGUAAGCUGCUGCGUCAGUACGAGAAGGAACGACGGCCUCUGGAGCAGCUGGCUGAGGAAGACCGCUUCAUGCUCCUCUUCAGCAAGAUCGAGCGCCUCACUCAGAGGAUGAGCAUCAUCACUUUCGUGGGGAAUUUUAACGAAAAUAUUAGCAUGCUGACCCCGCAACUCAACGCCAUCAUAGCUGCCUCAGCCUCUGUGAAGUCUUCUCCAAAGCUGAAACGAAUGCUUGAGAUUAUUUUGGCUUUGGGUAACUACAUGAACAGUAGUAAAAGAGGCUCAGUCUAUGGUUUCAAGCUCCAAAGUUUGGAUUUGCUGCUGGACACGAAGUCUACUGAUCGCAAGAUGACGUUACUUCACUACAUCGCUCUGAUAGUGAAGGAGAAAUACCCAGAGCUCGCUAACUUCUACAACGAGUUGCACUUUGUGGAUAAAGCCGCAGCAGUGUCUUUGGAGAAUGUGCUGCUGGAUGUGAAGGAGCUGGGAAAAGGAAUGGAGCUGAUCAGAAGAGAGUGUAGUCUGCAUGAUCACGCUGUCCUUAAGGGCUUCCUGCAGGCCAGUGACCCUCAACUGGACAAGCUGCAGAAAGAUUCCAAGACGGCUGAGGAGGCUUUCAACACUGUGGUGAUGUACUUCGGCGAGAGUCCCAAGACGACUCCUCCAUCUGUGUUCUUCCCCGUGUUUGUGCGCUUCAUCAAGGCCUACAAAGAUGCAGUUGAGGAAAACGAACAGAGGAAGAAACAGGAGGAAGCUAUGAGGGAGAAACUGCUUGCUCAGGAGGCCAAACAGCAUGACCCCAAGGUGCAAGCUCAGAAGAAGAGGCAGCAGCAGCACGAGCUCAUCGCCGAGCUGAGACGGCGACAGGCCAAAGACCACCGUCCCGUCUACGAGGGCAAAGAUGGCACCAUUGAGGACAUCAUCACAGCGCUGAAGAGUGUGCCGUUUACAGCGCGCACGGCCAAGCGGGGCUCUCGUUUCUUCUGCGACACCAACCUGUACGACGAGUCCAACUGCUAGCCCCUUCCUAAGUUCCCUCUCAAAAUCUGUCCCUAAUUCAGAAGAGCAGAGGACCGAGCUGAGUAAAUAUGGGCCUUUACUAAAUGGAGGAUCUCCGAAGCCAGCCGUUCCUGCGAGCUGACGCGGUGAUCCGAAACGGGUGGAAGCGACCCUAAAGACCCUCCCUGACCCCUCUCCACCCUGCGCUUAUCUCCCUGCACCUCACAGUGACGGAGCGUAGCCCAGGACCAAAGCAAGCGCCGUUCGUUUUAUAAGUGGCCAGGCGAGUCCUUUAUUUAUUUAUGGAAAUCUCAUCCUUUCUGGAUCGGAGGAGUCUCUGUGUCUCUGCCCAUCUCUCAGCAAGGCUACAAAAGCACAGACGUUUAAAGAUCCCACCCUUUCCUUUUACUCACACGUGUAUCCUAACACACACAAAGCAUCAGUGUGCGUGUGUGGCCUUGUCGGGGUGAAAAGUAAAAGACAUUUCCUGGUGAGCAGUACAUGUGUGUGCGAGAGAGAGACAGAGAGCGCGCACACACACAGCACAACAUGGGCCUCUUCACAUGUGCAAUCUAUAACCAAGACUCUUACUGAUGAAGAGAUACGUCCAACACCAUCUACACAUCUCCAAGAGCUUUUUUUCUCCUCCUUGUUUCACAAUGAAUAAUUAUUAUUAACAUCAUAUGGGUGAAGCUCGACACACCAAACGUCGUAUUCCAGUUUGUUAAAGAAGUGCCUUUUUUAUUGAGACAGUAUUAUUUACUUUAAUAUUUACCCUAUACAGAUGCUAGACUUAUAAUUUUGUACUGAUUGUUUUCCUUUUUUUUUUUUUUUGUACUGAUCCUUUUUUUAUGUAUAUGUAUAACAUUAGAUAUAUUGUAAAUAGACCAUUAUUGAAGUGCAGUGCUUUGCCUUGAACGCUUUGCUUAUUCAGGACCUGCGUUAUUUUAUUAGGUAACUAUGUGCCUUGCAUAGUUAAUACUAAGCUAACAUCAGUUCUGUCUGACUGUAAAUACUGGUUGUAAUGAUGAUUUUUUUUUUUUUUGGGCUUAUGAAACCACUAAUGUGCUCUUGGAUUGAAGGCUAAACUGAAUUGAAGAUGCAUCCAGGUGGUUAUUUUUUGUGUUAAAAAAAAAAAAGAAAGAAGAAGUAGUAGUAAAUGCAGGGGUGCCAAUAUUUAUAGUUUAGCUGUAAAAAAGACAUAUCAGAGCUUAGAAAUUCUUCCAGGAUUUAUUGUUAAGUUGUAUAUUUUCUCUGCUAGAUGCUCAAUGUUGGCACCUCUGCAUUGUGUAUUUGUGGAGAAACACCUGCAUCAUGAAGGCUACACUGCAUUCCACUGCCUCUCCAUACCAAAUAAGUGAAGGAUUAGGAUUUCUUCCUAAACAGCAUCGUUAGCAGCGUUUAAUUAGUUCGUAGGAGUCUUGAUCCUGUAUUAGGGAUUAUUAUUGCGAGGCUUCCUUUUGCACUAGCCAGUAAAAUGACAGGCGGAACUAAUACACUACAUGCUGCCAUUUAGAGCAGGACUGAAACAUAAGCAACACUAGACCUUGUGCUGUGGGUCUCUCUUAAAUAUUUAAUGUUUUCUGUCUUUUUUUUUUUUUAUACAGAAACUGUAUCAUGUAAAAAGUGCUGAAUGUAUAGGCAUGACCUCUCUAUUAAGGAAAUGCAGCAUCAUUUCUGUUAUCAGCCAUUAGCCAUUCCAUUUGUCACAGGAAGCACAAAUAAAAGUCAGACGCUCAAGAUCACCAGUGUAUCUGAUGGAUUUCACUCAUGAAAAUGGAAAAUGUUAGAAAGAGCUGUUUGGAAUGUGUACAGCCCUCUGCUGGUUGUUAGAUGAAUUGCACUUUAUAGGCCUUCGCUUUAAACUAAUGGCUGUGUGUAAAAAAAUUUCCAGAUUUACUACUACUUCAUCAUAGGCGUCAUGUCAACAUGGAAAUCCAGUCAACAGUAAAUAAAUAUCGCUUCUCCACUUUAAAGGAGUUUAUAGUAGGUUAAAUCAAUAAUACUGACUGUACAUUUCUCUGUAAGUAAAUACAUUAAAAACUCAUGAUGUUUCUACUGUAGUAAGCAAAACACUGUCCUGUCUCGCCUUCUUCUCCCACUGGGCAUCUUAAAACUAAGAUUAAACAAAGGAAAUAAAAUAAAACUACAGGCUUCGGAUAUCCGAUAUGCAGUAUCCUACAAUGUCACAUAUGUUGUAUCAUAAAUUAAAACAGAAAUUCUUUAAAACAAAAACAAAAAAAAUCCUGGGUAGUUUUUGUGUGUGAAUAUUCUGAAUGGCAAUUUUUCUAUGUUAUCUUUUAAAAAAAAAAAAAAAAAAAAAAUUCUUAUACGUCUUCCUGAAAUUGUACACAUUCCAAGCAGCAUCUUUGCUCAUCGUAUGAUGCCGUUUCCUUGUCAGAUGCAGAACCAGAAGCCACAUCUCUUUUUCUGUACACACUGAUUUUAUUUCAUAAUUAUAACAAUAUCCGUUACUUUUCUGUAGUUUAUGAAGUUCUCCAGCAAAAAAAUAGUGAAACGUUACUCUGUCUCUCCAAAAGAAGGGCUGAGCCACCAUGCAUUUCUACUAUAAAAAGCAGUUUAAUUAUUCUGCAUAUAUAAAAAGAAAAACAAAAAAAAACAAACAAUUAAAACAAUAAACAAGGAGUACCGGAACGGCUGUAGCUUUGUAGCAGUUUAUGAUUUAACCCAAAAAAACAAAAACCAAAAAAAAAAAGGACUUCAGACUUCACUAAAUUACAUUGGAUGGUUUACAAAUGAAGCAAAAGGUGGAUGCUGAGUGAACACUGUUAACAUGUUACCUUUGUGUGUUACAUGCAUUAGUCUGUGGAGAAGUUCACUUUCCAACAGGUAGCAGCGAGGCAGUGAGUCUGGGCAGGAGGGCAACAGAGUCUGUAAGACUCACACACACACACUCUCACACACACACUCACUCUCUCACACACACACACACACACAGCAGAAUGCACUUACAGAACUUUAAAAAAAAUAAAAUAAAAUGUUACUGCACUAUUAAAAACAAACAAACAAAAAAAAAUAA